GUCAGCACCCCUCCUCUGCUCAGCCUGCAGAAAGACUUCACGCUCUGGACAUCUUUACUGGGGCCAGUGCACAGCCCUCCAAUUCCCCAUUAACUCUCAUUCUGAGGAGCUGAGAUCAGCUGAGGAAAGCUUUGCCAAGCUUCAGAGGAUCAAAAUGUGCAUUUGGGAGGGGUAGGCGGGCAGAUGGCGCCAGAUUAAAAAGAUGCUGGGCUCGCUCGCUGCUCUGAGGUCUCUGAAUUGCCUCCAGCACAGCAGUGUGCAAUCAGGAACUCCAUCACACGACCUAAAAACUUGUUGAGUCUCUCCAAAAAGACUUAGCCUGCUACAAGAUACUGAGGGGGAUUGAGAUGCACUUCCAGAGGGCCUGAGAUUCUAGAAGCCCAGCAUCCACCAGAUGCCUGCUGAAGUCGAUGGCUGCUGCACACUCUGCUGAGGAAUCAGAUUUCUGAAGGUCCUUCAUAAAUACUUCAGUCUGCAAAGAUGAACAAGAGGAGCCCGAAGAAUGUCGUAUGAAAUGAAGACUGAGAUACUGAGAUUCUCUCAAAACAGCCUCAGUUCACGUCGGUGCCUGGAACCUGGAAGAGCCAUCCUUGCAUGACCAACUCCACUGUACUACCUUAUCCCUCCCAGAAGGUUCAGAGACCCCAUUUUCAAGGCAAAUCUCCUUUCCAAACUAACAUGUGCCACAAGCUCAGUGAAGCACCACACAAGAAGAAGUUGCUCCAAGAAGCCUCAUCUCAUCUUUUUCUCCCAGAAUUUGAUCAAACACAGUGACCUUCUCAAGUAGAAACGCGAGAAACAGCAGUCAAAUUGAAUAGAAAGUUAACUACCAAAUUUCAUAAUGUUUACUUUACAGUUGGGACAAAAAUGUGAGGUGUGCUUAAAAAAUGCUUAUAGACAAAUGUGAACUUUAUCCAAGAAAGUUCAGAAGAAGAAAGAGAAGGGCAUUAUAGAAAGAACCUGCAUUGUGUUGUAGAGACGACAAAUGAAGACUGGCUCUAGUCCCAACUCU
rnacentral:lncRNA from 1 species